CUCUCUCAAUCUGACUGGAGGUGGAGGUAACACAAGCUAUGCAGAGUAGCUGAGUUGUACAAUCACAAUAAUCUUGGUGCUGACAAGUCGGUGGCUAGAACCAAGGUUGGCCUGAGCCAUAGCCAACUUCAGACUCAUAGCGGUGUUCACCUGGGAGCCCUGAGCAUCCUUGGAGACCUGAACCACUUGGAUUGUGACCACUUUUCAAAAUGCUUUUGGAACGCAUUUCUAUAAUUAAUAACAUUUGUUCUUUAUAGAAUAUCAACUGUUUAAGCCAAGCUUUCAAAAACAAUACCAAAUUGGGAAAAUUAAAAAACAUUAUUUUUCAGUUAUAUGAUGGAUUAUUUUUAUUUUAAAAAUCUGCUUAUUAAAUGGUAGGAGUUGCAGAAAGGUAGAAACUGAUCCUCAGACUCAUAUGGAAUUAUAAGGGGCCUAAGUAGCCAAGAACAAAGUUGGAGAACUCAUACAUUCUAAUUUCAAAACUUACUACAAAGCUACAGUAAUCAAAAUAGUGUGGUCAUGGAAUAGAAGUGAGAGUCCAGAAAUAAACCCACACAUCUAUGGCCAGUUGAGUUACAGAUACACUGAAUGAGGAAAGAAGCAUCUCUUCAACAAGUAGUACUGUGACAACUGGAUUUCCACAUACAAAAAGAAUGGAGUCUCUACCUCAUGUCAUAUAUAAAUAUUAACUCAAAAUAGAGCAGCAACUCAGUGUAAGAGCUAAAACCAUGUAACUUUUAGAAGACAGCAUAAAGAUAAAUCAUUAUGACUUUGGACUUAGCAGUGGGGUCUAAAUAUAACACCAAAAACAUGAACAACAAAAUAAUUUUUAAAAAUUGAGCAUCAUCAAAAUGAAAAGUGUUUAUACACCAAAGGAUAUUGUUGAGAAAGUGAAAAGACAAUUUACACAAUAAAAGAAAUAUUUGGAAA